GGAACUGAAACAUCUAAGUACCUGAAGGAAGAGAAAGAAAUUCGAUUCCGUAAGUAGCGGCGAGCGAACGCGGAUUAGCCCAAACCAAUAAAGUUUUCUUUAUUGGGGUUGCGGACAUAUCAUAACGGAGAGGUAUCGUAAUUGAAGAGGUUUGGAAAGACCCACCACAGAAGGUAAUAGUCCUGUAUGUUAAAUGAGAAGACUUUAGAUAUGAUCCAGAGUACCACUGGACACGUGAAACCCUGUGGGAAGCAGGAGGGACCACCCUCCAAGGCUAAAUACUACCUAGUGACCGAUAGCGUAUAGUACCGUGAGGGAAAGGUGAAAAGAACCCCG
rnacentral:rRNA from 1 species